rnacentral:rRNA from 1 species
CGUGCCUCCAUCCACGCCGGCGUCGGCGGGCGUAUUUCGCCUCACAGUAGGUCGCCGCGACCCGUUGCUUUUGGGGACGUCGAAGGCCCGGACGGAUUGGUACCCUACCGGCUGGGGAUGCGGCUUCGGCUUCUCCUCUUGUCCGGUGGGCGAAACCGCCGGUGUCCUGGCUGCCCUGCGACGGUCGUAGAGACGAGCCCCUCCCAUUCAAUGUGGGGGGCGGCUCUCGCGGCGUGCAAAAGGUCGGUGAUCCACCCGACCCGUCUUGAAACACGGACCAAGGAGUCUAACAUGUGUGCGAGUCAGUGGGCGCACUAAACCCAGAGGCGUAAUGAAAGUGACACGGGUUCGGCUGUCGCCUCGUGUGGCAGCCGGACUCAGGGCCGAUCCCUCACCGGUUGCCUCGCCUCUCUCCCGCGUCUCGGUAAGCCGGGUGAGCUAUUUUCCCCGGCCUCUGCUGCGGGGCCCGGGGGGAGGCGGGGUGCGAUGGUGUCCGUAAAAAAGAGCCUGCUGUUGCAGGGGGGCGCAGGCCCGGGACUUGCCAGGACGCCGCGAGACUGUCACUUUGCUGUGAGGCUCCAGGGCCGAUCAGCGGGUCAUGCGUGCAGUCGGCAAGUACCAUGAGCAGACAUGUUGGGACCCGAAAGAUGGUGAACUAUGCCUGGCCAGGAUGAAGCCAGAGGAAACUCUGGUGGAGGUCCGUAGCGAUUCUGACGUGC